AUUUGCCCUAGCAUGGGAAAGAAAAAAAAAAGUCUCUUGACUUUCUGUCUGUCUUUGUGGUGGCCCAGAUUGAGUUGGGGAAUACAUAU